rnacentral:lncRNA from 1 species
CCAUUUACCGAAAGCAGUCUCCUAUGGUUCAACUUCUCGUUCAUUCUCACCCGGCCUGAAUUCGGCAUCUAUAAAAUGGGGGUGAUCCUGUCUCACAGGGUCAUUGGAAGGAGAGUUUUCUACUGGGUCUCCGGAACAAGCUUCGCUCAACCAAAACAGGCUGCCUUUCACGGUCCUACACAGCCAGGCAUGGAACAGGCAGCCACUGUGUUCCUGAAAUGAGACCAGCAUCUGCCUUUGAUCUGGGGUCUACGCACAGCAUGGACAAGGCAUGGCUAAGAUGUCUAAACCCAGACAUCCCAGGAGAUUAAGGAAAGAAGAUCAGAAGUUCCAGGCCUGUCUGGGCUACAGAGCAAGUUCAAGACCAGUCUGGGAAACAUAUUGAUAAUUAUGUCUCAAAUAAACACUAGGAAGAGGGCUGAGGUCAGUGGGGUGCAUGAGACCCUAGAAUCCCAAAACAACAAAAGCAUCACCACCAUUAUCAUCACCAUCACCAUCAUCACCAUCCCCACCUCUGCCGCCAUCGCUAUAACAUAUGUGAUUAUCUUACAGUGCUCUAGAUCAGAACACUUGGUUUGUAACGUAAUCUGGAAAUUCUCUCUCAGACAUGCCCAAGAGAGUUGUCUCCAUAGUGUUCUCAACCUGGUCAAGUGGACAGUCAAGAUUAACCCUUUGAUUCCCAUGGCUAAAAGCUAUUCCUUCCAGUGCCGUCUUCUGUUGCUUAGGGUGUUGAGAGUGGGUGAACAACUGGGCCCUCCAGGUGGCCUUGGUGGCCCUUGGUGACAGUAAGAGAAACCACUUUGAAAGGUGAAGACAGGAAGUGAGGCAUGAUGCCAGGGUCACCACGUGGUUGACUGCCAUCUUGUGGGAGUGCAGGAGGACUGGAAGAAAGAGGACCCUCAGCUUGGGGUGUGAGGACGGACGUGGCCAGGGGUCACCUGUCUCUGCAUCUUGGGCCAUUCAGAGCUCCGGGCCAGGUCAUUGUGAAGAGCUCCACUUCUCUGUAGGCCAUUAUGGUGAAAAGGAGUUUAGCAGACAAGGGCUCAGGACACGCCCCUUCUGUGCCCAGGCAGAGUGUGAUGUCAUCAGCAAAGCCAGCAUGUAUGUUGGGGUCAGAGGACAGGGUGUCAACUCUCACCUCUUCACCUUGUUUGAGACCGUCUCUCUGCCGGUGUGUGUGCUAGGCUACUGAGGAUUGCCCUGUGUCUGAUUCCGGUUCCCCAGUAGGGAUUACAUAUGUCUGCACGGUUGCAUCUACCGUGGGCUUUGGGGGUCUGAACUCCAGCUGUCAGGCUUACAUGUCAAUCACUUUGUCUCCUGAACCAUCUCCCCAGCCCCAUACUCCUCACCCUUGCUUUGAUGGUCAUCAAGCCCUUGGUAGUGGUCACCUGACUCUAAGUCCUAGUCUCUUUGCAGUAGGGUUCUCCCUUCCGUUGAAUGCACUGCGUGGAUUUUCCCUGUUUUCCCGCGGUUGGACUCCAGGGCCUUGUGCAUAAGAGGCAAGCACUCCAACUCCGAGACACUGCCCUCGAUGGCUGGCUCUGAAUCAGAUCGAUAACCAAAUACAGGCAUCCCCAUCUCUAAAAACCUUCUGAGAUUGCAUCGGAGAGAAUGGAAGGCGCCUCCGCCUCCGUAGUUUAAACAGAAGGAGUUUUGCCUAGCAAAGGAGCAUUAGCAGCCCUCAAACCUUCGAGACGGGAGAAGCAGGCUGUGAGCUGAGCCUUAGGGAAAACCUCCAGUCCCCAGAAUCCUUCUGGGUCCCCUCCACCGUUACCAAGGAAACCAACAAAUUGGGAAGCUCCUUAAGCAUACCAAGCCAGUAAAAAGAGAAGCGCGCACCCCAUUUCUCUUCCUAUUUAAACUCUUUCCAAGCCCAGUCCUGUUCGUGUGACUCUGGUUGGGGAAGACUGAAUCGCAUCUGAAAGUCUUCCUUGCAAGAGGGUUAUAGGGAAAUUGGUUUUCUUUUCCUGGCUUCUUGGUAUAAAAAGGCACGCGUGAAGGAGGUUGGAAUAAAUGUU